rnacentral:rRNA from 1 species
AUUGAACGCUGGCGGCAGGCCUAACACAUGCGAGUCGAGCGGAUGAAGGGAGCUUGCUCCUGGAUUCAGCGGCGGGCGGGUGAGUAAUGCCUAGGAAUCUGCCUGGUAGUGGGGGAUAACGUCCGGAAACGGGCGCUAAUACCGCAUACGUCCUGAGGGAGAAAGUGGGGGAUCUUCGGACCUCACGCUAUCAGAUGAGCCUAGGUCGGAUUAGCUAGUUGGUGGGGUAAAGGCCUACCAAGGCGACGAUCCGUAACUGGUCUGAGAGGAUGAUCAGUCACACUGGAACUGAGACACGGUCCAGACUCCUACGGGAGGCAGCAGUGGGGAAUAUUGGACAAUGGGCGAAAGCCUGAUCCAGCCAUGCCGCGUGUGUGAAGAAGGUCUUCGGAUUGUAAAGCACUUUAGGUUGGGAGGAAGGGCAGUAAGUUAAUACCUUGCUGUUUUGACGUUACCAACAGAAUAAGCACCGGCUAACUUCGUG